rnacentral:rRNA from 1 species
UACGUAGGGGGCAAGCGUUGUCCGGAAUUAUUGGGCGUAAAGGGCGCGUAGGCGGCCUGGCAAGUGGAAGGUGAAAUCCCUCGGCUUAACCGAGGAACUGCCCUCCAAACUGCUUGGCUUGAGACCGGGAGAGGUGAGUGGAAUUCCCAGUGUAGCGGUGAAAUGCGUAGAUAUUGGGAGGAACACCAGUGGCGAAGGCGGCUCACUGGACCGGUACUGACGCUGAGGCGCGAAAGCGUGGGGAGCAAACGGG